rnacentral:misc_RNA from 1 species
UUUCCGUAGGUGAACCUGCGGAAGGAUCAUUAUUGAAACUUGAAUCGUAGCAUCGAGGACUGUUGCUGACCUGUUAAAAGGUAUGUGCACGUUCGACGUGUUGCGUUCUAUUCAUCCACCUGUGCACCUUUGUAGACUUGAUUAACUUUCGCUCUCGAGCGGUUAGAAGGGUUGCUUUCGAGCUCCCUUUGUCUAUCAAGUCUAUGUCUAUAUAAUCUCUUGUAUGUCUAGAAUGUCUUGUUUAUGGGACGCAAGUCCUUUAAAUCUUAUACAACUUUCAACAACGGAUCUCUUGGCUCUC